CUCCGGCAGCAGCACGCGGGAGGCGGGGCCGGAGGCUCCUCCGCCCCUCAGCCCGCCCACCCGCGGUCCCGCAGCGGCGCGCGGCUGACGCUCCCUCAGCGAUCCGGCCCUCCGCGGCUCCUGCGCGACCCCACGCAAAAGCGCCCCGUGCGAAGAGCGCGGCCAGCCAGUCCGCAAAGGGCCUCGGGCAGUGCGGGCAGCACGAACGGCGCGAUCGGGGAGCAGGCGCGGCUACGCUCCGCCUCAGUGAUGUCGCCGGGAGGAUCUCCGCGCGGCUACCUCCUCUUCCGCCGCCUUCCUCCCACGCCUUCACCUCCCUCCCCCGCCGCGCUCUGCGGCGAAAAGGAGCGGGCUCCCAGGCCACCUCCCCUCUCUCCACCCAGGGGCCGCGCGUCAGUGGACCUGCAGCCCAGGCAACGGGGCUGCGGACGGCGCGCGUGCCCUGCCUCGCCUCACGCCGGUAGCUGAUGCUCCCGCGGCAGCUGCCACCCCAGCGCCCCAGCCACGGCUUCAGAGGCUCUCGCACGCUGGCUUUUUUUUUUUCCCCCCGCUUUGGUGAACUCGCAGUACUUGGGCUGAGCCCGAAAUCUCGCGAGAUGCUGCAGGCGUCAGUGCGGCUUCCCACUAGGCGCGUGGUACCCGAGGCCGGGCCGGAGCCGCAGGCCAGCCGCGAUUCCUUCGGGCGAUGCUGGGGGCUUUCCGGUCGGGGCCGCAGCCGCUUCCGGAGCCGCGGGCGAGGUGCGUUCCCCAGCCUGGUUUGCUCUGGGCUCUGACCCGCCGCCGCGAAUCUCCGCUCGUAACUCCGGGCCUGAACCUGGAGGAGGGAGGAUUUCCUCUGUGCAGCUUUCGAGCGGUAGACUCACCCUGCCAGGCAGACCUAGAUUGGCAUAACCAGAGAUCAGUUCCAGUUGUGAUGCAGUGGGUGUCUACACACUUCUGAUGACACCUUUAUUUUAAAAGCUGAUGUUCCAAGGUGCAAGCGGUCUUCUCUGUCUUCUUUAUGGCCAGUAAAAUUCUCCAGAAGAGAUUUAUGGCAGCCUCACUCCCAGUAGUUUCUGCAUUUAGUGAGAUAAGAUGGAAUCUUGCUCUCUUGCUCAGACUGGAGUGCAGUGGCAUGACCUUGGCUCACUGCAACCUCACCUCUCGGGUUCAAGCGAUUCUGCCUCAGCCUCUCGAGUAGCUGGGACUACAGGUGGGAGACCUCCACAGAACCCUUCCAGCAAGCUGUCUUCUAAAGCAAACAAGAAAAGGAAAGUCUGAGCAGUUUUGAUUAGAUUUCCCAGAAGUCAAAGCAAGGAAAAAUGAAAAAGCUUCAUUUCUCACGUUCUUAAAAGAGAGCACAGAUGUUGCAUCAUCUGGUUAGAUACCCUGAGAAUAAAAUCUGGAUCCAGUGAGAGGAAAGAUUCUGGGUGCUCAUGAAAAAAGAAACAAAACAAAACUUGGGAGCCUCUUGAGAGUGUACAGCAUCAGCCCUUGCCAACUCUUGUUUAUAUGCAUUUAACUUUCAGUUAACCAUGGGAAUAAUUCAUGAAAAUCCAAUCUACAAACAAAGGCCAUCCUAACGUUCAUGUUAUUCUUUUCCCUAAGAAUCUUUCACAAGAGCUAUAAUCAAGUAGAAUUAUGCUUUGAUUUGAAUUCUAAUUCAAUUGAAAAUAAAAAAUGAGGGCCGGACGCGGUGGCUCAUGCCUGUAAUCCCAGCGCUUUGGGAGGCUGAGGUGGACGGAUCACGAGGUCAGGAGAUCGAGACCAUCCUGGCUAACACGGUGAAACCCGAUCCCUACUAAAAAUACAAAAAAUUAGCCGGGCGUGGUGGCAGGCGCCUGUAGUCCCAGCUACUCGGGAGGCUGAGGCAGGAGAAUGGCGUGAACCCAGGAGGCAGAGGUUGCAGUGAGCCGAGAUCAUGCUACUGCACUCCAGCCUGGGCGACAGAGCGAGACUCUGUGUAUAAAUAAAUAAAUAAAUAAAUAAAUAACGAAAAGGUUGCCAUUGCCCUUUCUGGGGAAAGUGAUAAUGAGGAAAGACUAGUUUCUUAACCCAAGUCAGCUUUAGAGUCGGCAAGGAUGCAAUUUGAGGUGAUCCAGGAAAACUCUAUUAGCAUGGUAUAAGCCUGGUUUUGCAGUAUAUACAGCAAGCCAUAGGAAGUUUCAUUGGAAGCGUUGUGGAACUCAUUGAGAGUUGAAUGGAAGAAAGAACCUAUAGCAGAAAUUUCCAG
rnacentral:lncRNA from 10 species